AUUGAACGCUGGCGGCAUGCUUUACACAUGCAAGUCGAACGGCAGCACGGGAGCUUGCUCCUGGUGGCGAGUGGCGAACGGGUGAGUAAUACAUAGGAACGUAUCCUGUAGUGGGGGAUAACGCAGCGAAAGCUGUGCUAAUACCGCAUACGAUCUACGGAAGAAAGCGGGGACCUGCAAGGGCCUCGCGCUAUUGGAGCGGCCUAUGCCUGAUUAGCUAGUUGGUGAGGUAAAGGCUCACCAAGGCGACGAUCAGUAGCUGGUCUGAGAGGAUGAUCAGCCACACUGGGAACUGAGACACGGUCCAGACUCCUACGGGAGGCAGCA
rnacentral:rRNA from 1 species